rnacentral:rRNA from 1 species
UACGGAGGGUGCAAGCGUUAUCCGGAUUUACUGGGUUUAAAGGGUGCGUAGGUGGGUAGGUAAGUCAGUGGUGAAAUCCCCGGGCUUAACCCGGGAACUGCCAUUGAUACUAUCUGUCUUGAAUAUCCUGGAGGUGAGCGGAAUAUGUCAUGUAGCGGUGAAAUGCUUAGAUAUGACAUAGAACACCCAUUGCGAAGGCAGCUCACUACGGGAUCAUUGACACUGAGGCACGAAAGCGUGGGGAUCAAACAGG